CAAGAGGACAACGACUCGGUGGCAUAACAAGAGGACAACCACUCGGUGGCAUAACAAGAGGACAACGACUCGGUGGCAUAACAAGAGGACAACCACUCGGUGGCAUAACAAGAGGACAACGACUCGGUGGCAUAACAAGAGGACAACUACUCGGUGGCAUAACAAGAGGACAACUACUCGGUGGCAUAACAAGAGGACAACUACUCGGUGGCAUAACAAGAGGACAACUACUCGGUGGCAUAACAAGAGGACAACUACUCGGUGGCAUAACAAGAGGACAACGACUCGGUGGCAUAACAAGAGGACAACGACUCGGUGGCAUAACAAGAGGACAACGACUCGGUGGCAUAACAAGAGGACAACUACUCGGUGGCAUAACAAGAGGACAACUACUCGUGCAAUUCUACACUGUGUCACUGGACCUUGUGCAUUAUGCUGCUAUAACUCUCUACAGCAGAAAGUUGAAAGGGAAACACAUCCCAAUCAAAGGUGUAUUCACUUGCGCCACUAAGGCCGAUAUUUAUCUUUUAACUUGUCCUUGUGGUAAAAAUAAUGUGGGUAGAAUGCCAAUUACGUAAAGGUAAUGGCGGACUGAACGAAGUUAUGUAGAGCACCUCAAAAUAAAACGUCAUAUUCAAUAUUGGCAAGUUAGACUAAAAUAUUAGCACUACAUAAUCUGGUGGGUGACAACCUUCAAUCGGGAUAAUAACACAAAACACAUUUUAAGACUAGAGACAUUUAUCGACAAAUAUUACGAAAACAAGCAACACCCAAACAUGACGAAGAGUAAGACAGGGGAACCGAUUUCAAUACGGAAACGUGACUUCUACAGACACAGACGAUUUAAUAUUUUCACCACCGGGAAUGGUAAAGGUCAAAAUCGAUCUGUUAAAAUCAAUAAAUGACAACCUGGGUAUACUUGAAUUAGUUAGUAAGGAUAUAAAAGAGUUGAAGGCAAGCCUCGAGAUGAGUGAUGGAAAAGCUGUGACAUUAGAGAAGGAAACACACAAACUAAAAGGGACAGUCAAUAAGAUUGAAACCGAAAUGAAUUCAAUUAAAAAGGAGAACACCGUUCUGAGGGAAGCCUUACUGGACAUACAAACUAGAUCAAUGAGAGAGAAUCGGGUACUUACAGGUAUCCAGGAGAAAGAAGGGGAAGUUACUGAAUCUGUAGUUAGAGAGUUCCUCCUUACAGCGCUUCAGAUCCCACGCAAAGUUAUCGACAAAAUCCAAUUUGAACGUGUACAGAGAGGCCGAAGGUAUGACCGCCCAAUCGUUGCCAAAUUUGCUUAAUUUAAAGAUAAAACAAUGGUUAAAAGCCUUGGUAAAAGAUUUGCUGGGACCAAAAUUGACAUGAAUGAUCAGUUUCCGAAGGAAAUUGCAGAACGGCGCAAAGUUCUGUAUCCAAUUUUCAAAGAAAAUAGAUUAAAAGCGAAACGAGUAGCUCUCGUCGUCGAUAAACUAUAUAUUGAUAACCAGUUGUUCAGAGACACAAAGACCACUCCAUGGUUAUUUAAAAAAUUACAAAGUUCUCAUAGAUGAGGAAAAUAAACACAAUUCUAGCCCAGUCAUGGAUUGUAACAACACAAUAAAAAAUAUAGAUUUUCUAUAUAUCUUCACAUAUAACUAAUUGAACACACAAGCACUAAUUCAACAUAGUGAAGAUAAAAACGAAGUAAACAGAAGGCACAGUAUGUGUGGUGUGUGUUUAUUUUGAUUUGUUAUGUUUGUAAAUUGAGUGAGUGAGUAAUGAAAUGGUUGCAUAUCCCAGAGCCAAUGUAUUGUUGUG
ensembl:lncRNA